AAGUGCUGGGGAUGCAAAUACAAGAAAGACAGUCCCUACCUUAGAAGAACUUACGUUCUAAUGGAAGAAGACAGCAUGUAAGGGGAGUGGAAAAGGUAACAGGUUUCAUUGUAUCUUGAGAACAAGCCAAGGAAAUCCAUGAAGCAGUUGCUGCAGCUGUAUAGGUGGCUGUGAAGACUCUGCAUAGUGUGCAAGAUACUAACCUCUUUCUCACAUAUACUGUAACUUUUUUAUGGUACAGUGUGUUUCUUUACUUUUUUUGUGUUAAAUCAAUGUAAUCAGAAUUAUUAAAAAUAAAGGUCUGGGAUGGGGCCUAGA